AAAACCACAGGGAUUGCCUCAGUAACGGCGAGUGAAGCGGCAACAGCUCAAAUUUGAAAUCUGGCUCCUCUGCGGGGUCCGAGUUGUAAUUUGUAGAGGGUGUUUCGGGCGCGGUGCCGGUCUAAGUCCCUUGGAACGGGGCGUCAUGGAGGGUGAGAAUCCCGUAUGCGACCGGCGGCCAACCCCAUGUGAAACCCCUUCGACGAGUCGAGUUGUUUGGGAAUGCAGCUCAAAAUGGGUGGUAAAUUUCAUCUAAAGCUAAAUACCGGCCAGAGACCGAUAGCGCACAAGUAGAGUGAUCGAAAGAUGAAAAGCACUUUGGAAAGAGAGUCAAAAAGUACGUGAAAUUGUUGAAAGGGAAGCGCUUGCAACCAGACCUGCCCGCGGGUGAUCAGCCGUCCCUUCGGGGGUGGUGCACGCGCCCGCGAUCAGGCCAGCAUCGGUUCGGGCGGCCGGAUAAAGGCUUCGGGAACGUAGCUCCCCUCGGGGAGUGUUAUAGCUCGGGGCGCCAUGCGGCCUGCCUGGACCGAGGACCGCGCUCCGGCAAGGAUGCUGGCGUAAUGGUUGUAAGCGGCCCGUCUUGAAACACGGACCAAGGAGUCUAACAUCCAUGCGAGUGUUUGGGCGUCAAACCCAGGCGCGCAAUGAAAGUGAACGGAGGUGGGACCCCCCCGAGGGCGCACCAUCGACCGAUCCAAAUGUCUUCGGAUGGAUUUGAGUACGAGCAUGGCUGUUGGGACCCGAAAGAUGGUGAACUAUGCCUGAAUAGGGUGAAGCCAGAGGAAACUCUGGUGGAGGCUCGCAGCGGUUCUGACGUGCAAAUCGAUCGUCAAAUUUGGGUAUAGGGGCGAAAGACUAAUCGAACCAUUUAGUAGCUGGUUCCAGCCGAAGUUCCCCCUCAGGAAA
rnacentral:rRNA from 1 species